rnacentral:misc_RNA from 1 species
CAGCAGUAGAAUUGCGAGCAGGCGAGUUCGUUUCACUGGGUUACGGAAGAUCAUUUGUGCCGGUCCAAAGGGUCUAAAGGAUCACGGGGAUCACGGUUCUGAAAUUUGAUGCUAGACUAAACGCGUAGUUUAGUCACGCCUGAACAGCAUGUCAAUCGAUCCAUUCUGCAGCUUAGCAGGUGAUUUGUCCCUUGCGUCGAAGCGGGGUCUCCGUGAUCGCCGGCGAUCUUCAGUGGCCAAGGCAUAUGCU